rnacentral:rRNA from 1 species
UACAGAGGUCUCAAGCGUUGUUCGGAUUCAUUGGGCGUAAAGGGUGCGUAGGCGGCGCGGUAAGUCGGGUGUGAAAUCUCGGAGCUUAACUCCGAAACUGCAUUCGAUACUGCCGUGCUUGAGGACUGGAGAGGAGACUGGAAUUUACGGUGUAGCGGUGAAAUGCGUAGAUAUCGUAAGGAAGACCAGUGGCGAAGGCAGGUCUCUGGACAGUUCCUGACGCUGAGGCACGAAGGCCAGGGGAGCAAACGGGG